UACGUAGGGUGCAAGCGUUAAUCGGAAUUACUGGGCGUAAAGCGUGCGCAGGCGGUUCUGUAAGUCUGUCGUGAAAUCCCCGGGCUUAACCUGGGAAUUGCGAUGGAGACUGCAAGGCUAGAAUCUGGCAGAGGAGCGCGGAAUUCCCGGUGUAGCGGUGAAAUGCGUAGAGAUCGGGAGGAAGGCCGGUGGCGAAGGCGGCGCUCUGGAACGUUACUGACGCUGAGACGGCGAAAAGCGUGGGGAGCGAACAGG
rnacentral:rRNA from 1 species